GAUGAACGCUGGCGGCGUGCUUAACACAUGCAAGUCGAACGGGAAAUAUUUCAUUGAGACUUCGGUGGAUUUGAUUUAUUUCUAGUGGCGGACGGGUGAGUAACGCGUGGGUAACCUGCCUUAUACAGGGGGAUAACAGUCAGAAAUGGCUGCUAAUACCGCAUAAGCGCACAGAGCUGCAUGGCUCAGUGUGAAAAACUCCGGUGGUAUAAGAUGGACCCGCGUUGGAUUAGCUUGUUGGUGGGGUAACGGCCCACCAAGGCGACGAUCCAUAGCCGGCCUGAGAGGGUGAACGGCCACAUUGGGACUGAGACACGGCCCAGACUCCUACGGGAGGCAGCAGUGGGGAAUAUUGCACAAUGGGGGAAACCCUGAUGCAGCGACGCCGCGUGAAGGAAGAAGUAUCUCGGUAUGUAAACUUCUAUCAGCAGGGAAGAUAGUGACG
rnacentral:rRNA from 1 species